AUUGAACGCUGGCGGCAUGCCUAACACAUGCAAGUCGAACGGAAGCAUGAUCUACCUUGCUCGAUUGCUGGAGCGUCGCGCACGGGAGUGUCAUAUAUAGAACCGAGCUAUGUGGUGGGGGUUACUUCGUCGAAAGAUUAGCAAAUACGGCAAACGUACUGAGGGUGAUGGUGGGGGAGCGAAAGGCCUCAUUCCUUACGCUUGGACAUUGUCGGAUUAGCUAGUUGGUGAGGUAAAGGCUAACCAAGGCGACGAUCAGUAGCUGGUCUGAGAGGUCGAUCAGCCACACUGGGACUGAGACACGGCCCAGACUCCUACGGGAGGCAGCAGUAGGGAAUUUUGGGCAAUGGGCGAAAGCCUGAUCCAGCAAUGCCGCGUGUGUGAAGAAGGCCUUCGGGUCGUAAAGCACUGUUGUCCGGAAAGAAAAAGCGCUUAUGAAUACCUGGAGGCGAUGACGGUACCUGAAGAAUAAGCACCGGCUAACUACGUG
rnacentral:rRNA from 1 species